rnacentral:rRNA from 1 species
GACGAACCGCGCGAACGUUAUUCGGAAUCACUGGGCUUAAAGGGUGCGUAGGCGGGCUGUCAAGUCUGGGGUGAAAUCCCGCGGCUCAACCGUGGAACUGCCUUCGAUACUGCGGGUCUCGAGUCCGGGAGAGGUGAGUGGAAUUCCUAGUGUAGAGGUGAAAUUCGUAGAUAUUAGGAAGAACACCAGUGGCGAAGGCGGCUCACUGGCCCGGUACUGACGCUGAGGCGCGAAAGCGUGGGGAGCAAACAGG